rnacentral:sRNA from 1 species
GCUAUUAUGACAUAAUAACUAGUGUAUAAAAGUGAAAAGAUGGUUGGCUAAAUCUCUUGAAAAGGGGUGAUGCCUGAUGAUUAAUGGUUGUGUCCCUAGAAAGGAAUAGAGUUGUCAGUAUAUGAAGCAUUAACACUUGCGAUUAGUCUUGCAAUGUUAGUAGUUGCCAUAUUGAAAUUUAA